CUCCAGACUCCUACGGGAGGCAGCAGUGGGGAAUAUUGCACAAUGGGGGAAACCCUGAUGCAGCGACGCCGCGUGAGCGAUGAAGUAUUUCGGUAUGUAAAGCUCUAUCAGCAGGGAAGAAGAUGACGGUACCUGACUAAGAAGCCCCGGCUAACUACGUGCCAGCAGCCGCGGUAAUACGUAGGGGGCAAGCGUUAUCCGGAUUUACUGGGUGUAAAGGGAGCGUAGACGGCGAUGCAAGCCAGAUGUGAAAGCCCGGGGCUCAACCCCGGGACUGCAUUUGGAACUGUGUGGCUGGAGUGUCGGAGAGGCAGGCGGAAUUCCUAGUGUAGCGGUGAAAUGCGUAGAUAUUAGGAGGAACACCAGUGGCGAAGGCGGCCUGCUGGACGAUGACCGACGUUGAGGCUCGAAAGCGUGGGGAGCAAACAGGAUUAGAUACCCCUGUA
rnacentral:rRNA from 1 species